CUUUUUCAUUCAUUCUUCUCGAUUGAUAAUGGAAGAAGAUUGAUAAUAGAUAUCAUCCAAUCAUCAUUUAUUUAUUUAAAUAUGUUUAUUCUAAAUUCUCCUUUCCUAUUGUAUCCAAUUAUACACACUUUGUGUAAACAAUCCUGUAGAUUCACAAAAAAAAAAUUUCAGAAAAAGAAAACCUCCUUUCUACAGUGUUUGCAGAAGACUUCGUUGAAAAAGAGGAAUGCAUCGAGUUUGAAACAAUGGUGUUUCUGUUGUUCGAGGGUCAACGGACAUAGCAAGACAAGAUACGCAAGUCUUUGACCGGGAUGACACGCAGAAAUGCCAUGCUUCAUCUUGAUGCCUGUUUCAGAUUGAUGCGAUCGUGGAAAGACAAUGUAAAGUCACACUAAUUUCACAUCCUGUCGCGUGUUAAUUCGCAUUCACUUCGUGAUGAAUUAAUUUCUAGUAGAAACUAGUUGCAUGGAUCUUUAUCGGCAAAUUACAGCGAAUAAAUACACAUUUAUCUUGACACGUUUAUCGGUCGUAAUUCAAGAAUCAUAUUAAUGGGAACGAGUUAUAGCAUGGGAUUAGAGAUGCUUGUCGAAUUGCAGAUUAUUAAAUUAGGAUUAUUAAAUUAUUUUGUAACCAUGAUUUUAAAUACUUGUUGAUUUUGAAAUGUAUCAAUUUAUAAUAUAUACGAUUAAAAGGAACAAUUAAAAUUCAUAAUAAAAGAAAGGAUUAAAAGGUGAAGAAAUGAAAUAAAAAUUGAAACUUUAAUAUCUUCAUGAUAUUUUUCUCUUAACCUGUAAGGAUGCAUAAAUUUCUUGCAACAAACCUCGCACACCAAUGUUCUUACUCUUUGAAUGCGUUCAUAUUUCAAAAUCCUUGCAAUAGCAGUUCACAAGAGUCAAUGUGGUCACGGGAUAGACGAAGGUUUCAAAGUUGCAAGGUAAGGCGUGUCGAGACUAGUGAUGGGAUCGAGUACCAUAUAUAUUCAUAAAUCUGGAUCAAAUUCGAUGAAAGAAUAUUAGAGAGAAGUAAUACUACUCAAGAAGAUGAACAUAGUCAUUCGUUAUACAAUUCAAUCACGAGAAUUAUAAUAAUUACUGUCAAAAAUAACGAAUAAGAAAAUUGAUGUUUCUAGUAAAAUUUCGAAUUUAUUCGAUCAAUGUUCGAUUCUAUUCGUAUUUUUUUUAUAGUCUCACUCUAUGAUUCAAUCUUGAAAAGAUACUUAUGAAUUGAAACCUGUUGCGACUCGGCCCCAUCGCUAAAUCGAAUAGAAAAGGAAAGAGACGCUUCGAGACAGAAGAAAGCCGAAGAAUGGCGGAUCAUCAUCUUCACGCGAGCGAGGCGAACUUAUGUAACGCUUUCAUACAAGACAAGGCCAAGGUUCUCGCGAUGCAGCAGAGGUUGAGCAUGUACUGUGUGGUCCCUCCGUUUCAUAUUGUUUUAUGGCAACAGUCGGCGACGCAUCUAAUUACGUCUAUCGAAAGAAACGUGGAGGAUCUUGUUCCCUGGACCACCAAGAUGGUGGAAUUUCGAGUAAGGAGGUUGUUGUAACGCGUAACAGGACAAUGCUCGAUUGUAUAAUUUUAAAGGGCCAUUCCGUGGGGAUGAGGAACGCGACGUGUGUCGCGUAAUUAUUUCUCUCCCUAUUG